CUCUAGGGGGCAUGCAGAUGGGCAGGCUGUGGGGCUCUGAACCCCCGACAGCAGCUAGGGGUGAAUGUUUACAGCUCCCCAAGACCCAGUGGGCGUGUGCUGCUGGGUGGGCUCUUUCAGUUUUGCAGUUGACAAGCAGUUUGUGUCACCAGCUCCGCUAGACCCUCUACCUUGUUGCAAGGGCACAAGGCUUUCUGCAUCCCAGGUUCUUGCCUUGGUGUACGGGAAGAAUCGGGUCACACCUGGGCUUGGAGAAUGAGUUCAAGGUUUUAUUGAGAGGAGGUAGCUCUUAGCAGAUGGGGGAGCCAGGAAGGAGAUGGCGUGGGAAGACUUUCCCCUACAAUCAGACCAUUGAGCAUGCCUCUUCUCCCACAACUCCAGCCAAACUCAACGUUGGUGCAUGGGUCCACAGUCUGCUGGCGUGCCAGUGUCUACCAGUGCCUGUCCGUGUGCUCCUCAACGAUGUGCUCCUCAACUGAUGUGCUCCUCGACAGAUGUGCUCCUCAACAAUGUGCUCCUCAACUAUGUGCUCCUCAAUGAUGUGCUCCUCAACGAUGUGCUCCUCAAUAAUGUGCUCCUCAAUGAUGUGCUCCUCAACGAUGUGCUCCUCAAUGAUGUGCUCCUCAAUGAUGUGCUCCUCAACAGAUGUGCUCCUCAACAGAUGUGCUCCUCAACGAUGUGCUUCUCUGGGCUUCCAGCCACUUCUGUGCUCUUCUGCUAAUGUUCUCCUCUCGACAUCCAGCCACUUGUGUCUUGGGGUUUUUAUAGGCACAGGAUGGAGGCAUGGUGGGCCAGGAAAUGCAACAUUUGGGAGUGAAGACAGGAGUGCCUGUCUUUACCUAGGUCUAUGGAUGCAGGCCCAAGGGUGGAGCUCUAGCCAGAGACCCACUUUUCUCCACCCAGCACUUCCCGCCUCCCUCCCAUAUCACUUAGUCCUCCCAGUAACCCACGAUGGCAGGUGCAAAUGUUCUUCUCUCCUGCAGGGAGAAAAUGAGGCACGAGAAAGUUACUUUGCUUACCCAGGAGCACAUGUGUAAUGAAUGGCAGAGCGAGUCUGUGGCCAGGUCUGUCGAGCCCCACAGCUGUGCUUACAUCUGCUACACCAAGGCAGGCUCCCAUGCAAUAGGAAUUGACUGGGUUGUGCCCUGCACUCUACCCAUCCUACAGGCACUCUGCCUCAUUCUAGAGAACCUUUGCAAGCCCUGGAAAUCACGGAAUGAGACUCACUGUCCAGAUGAGAAAGCUGAGCUCAGAGAGAUUCACUAACUUACCUGCAGCCACACAGGUAAGAAAUGGCCUUCUUCACCAUCUCAUGUUGCAAACCUACUUUUCACUGAUAAACAGCCCCCACGUGACAUGCAGGCUGCACUCCUCUGUGUAGGGUGGAGUCACUUCACCUGCAGAACGUGGGUUCUGGGCUCAGCUGUUCUCCUUGCUCCUGCCUCCUGAUGCUCCCAGGGGACUGUGGCAGUGCCUCUGUCUAACAUGGGCCACCGUCAGAGCACCUGCAGCCCUGAUCAUUGCCAUGGCUCCCCGGCUUUGGGCAGUGCAGAAAUGGCUUCGCAGCAAGUUAUUGUGAGGAGUCACUUGUGGAUGAAGAGGUCCAGCUGCUGGCUGUCUCCGCGGUCUUAGUUCUGGAUGCACGGAGGGGCCUAGAAGAGAUUCAGUUUACGUGUCUCGUGUUCCCUUUUUCCCUUGGAGUGGGGAGAAAAUUGGGUAGAAUUAAUGAUUAGUGCUUGGUCUCCAGUAUUGGGUUGAUUUUGAAAUCAUAGAUUUUUUCAGUUCAGAUAAAGACUGAAGUGAUAUCUAGCUCUCCUUUGGUCUGAGACUUCAUAUUUUUUUACCCUAGAAAAUAAGAUUGGGAAAUGAGGUAGACCAGAUGUGGGGCUGACAGGCACUGCAUGAAAAGGGUGAGAGCCACAGAAAAAGGCUCACACAAGAGAUCAAAGGAAAACCCUUCCGUUUAAAGAGGUAAAUAAGGAAAAUCACGUGCUUUGAAAAGGUUUUCUUGCUCCAGAAACUACCUUUAUAACCCCAGCAUGUAUUUCGGCAGCACCUUCAUUUUUACCUGAAAGUGGCAGGCACUGGCCUUUCUUCGCGGGACCCUACUGAUCCAUGAGGCAGAAACUCUGAUGCCAUUUCGACAUUGUCUCUCCUCCAGGAACAGGCAACCCUGGCGGAGGUUUGAUUUUCAAGCAGCUCACGUGUGUAAGGCAGAUGCUUCUUGAUUCCUCAAAGGUCCUUCUAGUUAUCUCUUUAAAUCACUGUUUUCUUUGUCACCGUGUGGAGGGCAAAAGGAUGCAUUUGAGUGGGAGCCGAGGGGCCGGGCGUGCGGGGCGCUUUUGGUACCAGCUCAGGCGAUGGACAGUUUUCUUCCGCGGCUCCAGAUUCCUGGGUCUGGGUCUCUCUUAGCAACCACAGCUUCCAGGUGGACCAGCAGGAUGAAAAGGACUUUGAUCUUGAAACCUCAAGCUUGACUUCCCACUGAAGGCAAUGGCCUGUGAAAACAGGCCAAAUGAUUCAUGACUGUUUCUUGUUCCCAGAUUUCUUUCUAAGGAGACAUUCUGAGUGCUCCAGUCCAGCUCUUGGUUUUCCUUUUAGUAGUAAAAGCCACAGACAAAAGCUCACUCGCUAACUCUCUGCCGAAAGAUGAACUAGCAUGGAAGGUACAAGCAGAACAUGCCCAGUGUCCUCGUCUAAGAGAACCAGUGCCCUCACGUGACCACCCCAUUGUCGAUCAAUUAACAGUGUUUCAUGUACACCAGCCAGACAGCAAAAAGUAAAUCCCAUCACGUUUUGAAAACAGUGACAUAAGUAUUUUUAUGCACUGAGGCACUGUUUGCAGACAGCACGGCGCACACUUUUCUGGUGUACAAUCUGAUUAGUUUCAGCGUGCAGUCGUGUAACCAGGAUAGAAGGUUCCCAUCCCUUUGCGAAGUCUCCUUAUGCCGUUUGCACUGGAUCAACAUCCCUCUGGCCCAGCCCCUGGCAAACACUAACCUGAUUUCUGCCUCUAUGGUUUUGUCUUUUUCACAAGGGCACGUACACAGAAUCGUGUAAGGUAUUCCUUUGUGUCUGGCGUCUUUUGCACGGCACGCUGACGCUGGAGCUCCCAUGUUGCUGUGUGCGUGAGUAGCUGUUCCUUUUCACUACAGAGUAGUACUCCACAGCAGAGACACUGCUGUUUGUGUUUUCACUCCCAGUGUAUGAGCAUUUGCAGCGUUUUCAGUGUUUGUCCUUAUCGUGAAUAAAUCUGCUUUUAGAUGUUCACAUACAGGACUUGCAUGAACAUACGUGUUCAUUCCUCCUGGGUAAAUACCUAGACCGGAAUGCUAUGUUCUAUGUAGAGAUGGCAUCUAACUGUCCAGGGCACUGCCCAACUGUCUUCUAAAGUAGGUUUCCGACAGGUGGCAUCUGAGUGGGUCCUGUGUUACUAAUCUCGGCCUUUUAAUUGGAACGUUUAGACCAUUUAUGUUUGAUGUGAUUAUUGACAUGGCAGUGUACUGUUUGUCCUUAUCGGGUUUUUUCUCUUUUUUUGCUUUCUUUUGUAUUUAUCAAGCAUAUUUUUAUAAUUCCAUUUUAUGUAACUUGGGAGCUCAUCAGUCGCCCCAUCCAGAGCUUUUGCACUGAUUGCUCAGAGGCAGAGGGUGGGUGCCUUUCCCCUCACUUGGAUGCACAGAUCUCUGCUUGGGAUCGGGGGCUGAGGAGGGUUUCCUGCCCUCUCAGCAGCUUGCCGCACCUGUUUUAUGUUGCAGAAGGUGAAGGAGUUGGGCUGGGUCCUGCCGUGUCCUCCAGGGUCUUUCCUGGGUCUCCUGCUCUUUCAUUCCCCCCUAGUGAGAACACAGCAGCUGGUGGAGACAUGCGAAGAGAGCCGGCGAGUGAGACAGACUCCCCAUUGUGUCUGGGGUCUGCAGGGAGUCCAGGCCAGCACCCUAGCCUAUCUUCUGCCUUUAGGAAUGUGUAAAGCCCUUGGCUGCAUUCUAAUCCGCUUCUAGGGCCAUGGCGCUUUCUUCUAGAAUCGUUGAGACUCUGUGUUGCUUUGUUUUGUUUAAUGCAAGAAGCAAGGGGCAGAUGGCAUCAUGUUAACAGAUGGAUAAGAAACCGGAAUGACUCCAUUUCUACUUUCUUUUCCAUCUUCUUUAUGUAAAAAUGAUCUUCAAACAGAAAGGACAGAGCAAACGUGAGAGAACUGAAAUCUCAAAUAGAACAUAAUACGUGACAUCUGCUGUCUGUAAGGAAGUAUAAGCUGUCAGACCCAGAUCUAAAGGACCUCAGAAAUGAGAUGGCCAAGCCCUUGGAGGACAUCCUGGUGGAAUCUUGAGGAAAGAAGGAAGGCAGCAGAAGAAAAGAGAUGGACAGAUGGCCUGGCCUUUGAGAUGGGAAUAAGGGUUGCAUGGAGAACACAGCAUCUUAAUUUUGAAUGAAUCAUCCAUGGUAGUUGCUAUGGUUUGAAUGAUCCCUCCAGCACUCAUGCUGAAACGUAACCCUCAACAUGGCAGAACCGAGAGGUGGGGCCUUCAGGAGGUGACCGCAUCAGGGGGCUAUGCUCUCAAGAAGGGAUUAAUUCAUAAAUGAACAGAUGAAUGGGCUACCAUGGGAAUGGAACUGGCGUGCUGAUAAGAAGGGGAAGAGAGCCCUGAGCCAGCAUGCUUGUAUGCUCAGCCCCUCACCAUGUGAUGCCCUGCAUGACCUCAGGACCAGGUAGAGAUGCCUACCAGCAAGAUGGCCUUCACCAGAUGCAGUCUCUCAGCCUUGGACUUCACAGCCUCCAUAACUUGGAGACGGGAAACAAGCCUGUAAACAGGAAUAGUUUGUGCCUCAAAGAAGGAAGCCCAGAAGCUGAACAGACGCUCUAAGUGCUUCCACCAAGGACUUCCUCAGCACAAGAAGUGCCCCUGCUGCCCCGGAAUGAGGCCCUCAGUUAUGGGGAGGUCCCUCCAUGGGGUCCCGCAGCUCCCCCAGGGUCUCACCUCCUAAGAAGACUUUCCAGUGCCAGAGACCCUGGCUGGGAGCUGACUUGUGAGACUCUUUCAGGGAUGCAGAGUGUGCCCUGACGGUGCGCAGCACACAGAGGGCUUCCUGAUGACAGGGUCGGUGCUGGCCAUGCCCUGCGACAGAGAGGAGAAGCUGGGCCAGGGCCCCCAGGAGCCCAUCUGAGAUGGCUGCAAGGCAAAGCACUGAAAUGUUCUAUUUCUCAGUGAGGGUUUGGUUCAUCGACAUUUGCAUCCCUGAACCUCCCUUACUAACCUGUCCCCUCACAGUCCUCAUCGAAAUACAUGUCAAGUUGAAAACUCUGGUCAUAGGGCAGCAAUUCCAGUGACCAGCAAGGCCAGCAGCGUCCAGGCGACUCCUCUGAGCCUGCGUGUCACUGUUGCACUGGGGGCUGACUGUGGCCGGGCCGUCCUGCAGUUGAGGGCAGGAGCUGCGCUGAUCCCGCCCCUGCUCAGGCAGUGGUGCCCCAGGAAGGACCUGCACCAUUUAGGGCAGGUGUGAUGCUGGGUGACAAAAGCCCUAAAGACAUUACAAAGCACAUUCUUCAUGACCAAAAUCCCUGGUAGGAUGCAGACAAACGGAGGAGGCAAAACGGAGGUCCGCCUGAACCCUGGCUCUCCUCGGAGGCUUUAGAAACUCCGCUGGCUUACAAAGCCUUCACAUGGAACCUCUGCUAUCACCUGCGUUUCAAUCACCCGCUCAUUACUUCUUACAAGUGAUUCUGGAAAAGGCCAGGAUGGACUAGUCUUUGCCUAUUUUGUGUGAAUUCUAAGCGAGAUGAAGGGGAACACAGAGUGAGUUGACCACAGGCCCCAUUUGACACGGUCCCACCCAGUGAGACCCGGGCUGGACCUCGCCUUCCUCCUUCUGCUGUUUCCUUGCUUCUGACUCUUUCAAAGCUCUUGGUCUUUAAGGAAACACUCUUCCUAAUGCAUUGUCCAGUACCCUGACACACGCAGUCAACCAAAACGGAAAAAGGAUAAACUCAGGGACCCCUGAGCAUAACGUGCACGAAGGAUGGAGGGACUUGUCUGAUGUCCCCGCUGUGUGACUUGAGGGGACACAUUGAUGAAAACAUGCAGGAGAAGGUCUACAGCCCGUGACACCCCGAGGCCCGUCUACACGGUGGGGAAGGCGCAGGAGUCUGGAGGGGGCCCAGGGCGCCAGCUCGGCUCUCUGCAAGGAGCCCAGUGACAGAAACUAAUAAAGCCACUUCGCUUCCAUUGCUCAAUGCAGCACAUUGAGAUGCCCCCAUCACCCCCGUGUACAUGGCAAAGAUGAAGUGAGAGCACGGCCAGCAUGUAGUCGGGGGAACCUCCACGCUGACGAUGGACCCACCCCACGUGCACGGUUAGGUUCCAGCCGCGUCGACCGAUGGUCACCGGAGAAGCAGAGCCGCUGGGAUACUUCUCCAACCAGCAGGAAAGCCGUGUAGAAAGCGCAGGACCCCGGGAGUUUCGGGAACAGAAGGAGACCGCUAGGGCCGGGUGGAUUCAGGGACCCUGCAGGCCGAGGGGUGGGGCCGCCCUGUGUGUGGGGGGCACGAAACCCCAGCUCCUCCCCAGGGGAUGCUUCUUUCCAGAGGACUUUAGACAAGAGGCCGCCUGGCCUCGCGGUCAGGGACGCGUAGGUGACCAGGGCAGGAGGCCUGUAGGGGUCGGGGACGAAGAGGAGGCCUGAGGGCAGGCGGAGGGCCAGGGCCCCUGCGGAGGACCCGGUGGAGAAGCCCCAAGAGAACCGCCUGAAACUCCCAACUCUCCCCGGAGGCUUCACCCCCGCGGGGACUCCGGGCACCCCAGCAGGUGAGGGGGAGCCCUGACCCUCACUAGGGGCCCCAGCCAAGCUGCCAGAGUAGUGGCGCCCCCCAGUUCUCUGUGGGGGGCUCUGACC